rnacentral:lncRNA from 1 species
UGCGAACCGUACAUCUUAAAAAAUUGGAGGGUAUACUUCAAUGUUACAACUUUUAACCUGAUGCUCAGUGGUUGUCGUUUGUUGGUGUGGUUUUAUAAGGGUUUCAGGUUUCUCGUUUUUACAUAGAUUAGUCUCCUCUUUGAGUGGUUUCACACUGUAAGUCUGGUAUUAUUUGGGACCCUUUAUAGCUUGCUGUUCGGUGUGAGCCAGGCUCCGUGUUAAAGACCGUAGUUUGACCUAAAACGGUUUACUUAUACAAAUUGUGACUUGGAUGGAUAGUUCGAGUUGGCACUAAGACCACAUCUUGUAUCAUAUUUAAUAGUAGAUUUCGAUCUAUUGGGAAAAAAUCGAGACAAGAUAAAAAAAAAAUAUUUGGUCACAUUUAACAGGCACUUCCUUUUUGCAAGCAGUACAUCUGAAGAUUGAAAAAAGAAUUGGGCGGGUAAGCUUUAAAAAGAUAGCAACCCUACAUAGUCACUUCGGACAAUUGUAAUAUACCCAGAAAAAGAAACUAUAAAACGGUACAAUUACAUAACCUUUAUUUCAUAACUCUCAAAUUCGACAGGGGGAAAAAGAAAUUGGAAAUUCUUGUAUUUAUUGGCUAAGGGUCUGACCUGCAGCAAAGGACAAAGAUACGACCUUCCACAAUAAGCAAAAUUCGUAUCGUAUAGUCAGUUUGGCUAUAAUGGGCCCGGUAUGGUAAACUGAUUACCUGAGUAGAACUUCAACAAUAAACUAAAAUAAUUGUGAUACGACUAUCAUGCCUGUGGAUUGAGUUGGGCACAUAGAGAAUACGAAGGAAAUACACACAUAUAGACGUUCCUAUCCGGUAACAUUGGUAGCAUUUGAAUUAAAUUGAAGCGUCUGACUCGGCAGAUCAAUAUACGUGUGCACCAAGAACACAAAGAAACGAGACAAAUCUGAAUUCUACUAUAAGUUAGUUUAACGGCAAAAAAUAGACCAUAUUUUCAUAGACUAGUAUCUCUUCAAAGGAUUUAGUGUAAUCAUUUCAAUCAUACCUCAUCAGUUAUUUGUGACAUUUAUUUUUAUUGUCGGCUAUGUUUUGAAUAAUAUGAAUCUAUACUUCUAUGACAAGCCUAUUAAGCAUAAUGGUAGUCUCUUGGCUCUCUGGAAUAAUGAGAAUGAUUAUGAAAAAUAAUAUAUGGUAUGCACAUAUUGCAAGUCUGCAUUAAAUUGUCA